UGGGCUGAGUUGACUCGCUGCUUGCUGAAAUCCUCGAGUCCCGCUGGCCGGCUCGUUGCUCCGAUGAUCGGUGAUGAGCCACCUUCGAGGGCUUCUGCCAACCCUCAGAAUCAUGGGGACAGCUGGUGGACUCGGUUGUUUAGGAGGUGAGUCUACCUAACUGGAUCUUGAAACCAGCAUGUCGUGAUGAGACUCGCUGUCCUUCUUUCCUUUUGGACCGCCGACUGAAACCCUAGGUGGCUAGAGCUGGGAGGUCACAACCCAAGGUCCUAGCCAGGGAUGAGGCACUGCCGCCGAACCCUCCCCCUUGCCGGACGGCCUUGGCAUCACAACCUGUAGGAUUUGCCUCCACCACAUUUUCUGACCGAAGAGCACCAUCUGUUGGCGAAUAGCUACAAAUGCCCUCAUUGUGGCCGAUCCACCCGCAUGAGCAGCACACCACCGGGAGGUUUUCAGAGAUGAAUGGCUGCCAGAAGGUUCGAUUCUUCCCCUUGAUCAAAACUUUGGGCUUCAAUGGCUCUGAUGAGUCAAUCUCCACCUUGAUCUAGGCAAAUCCUAUUUUCUGAAGCUAAUCGAUGAAAUUAUCGAUGAUAACCGGCUUCCUGACCUCCUCUCCACGAUGCCUUGGAUCCUUUUUGCACACCAAAACUCCAUUGGAAGGGAGGGGAGGCAUUGCCAAAUGGUCGUUCUCCCAACCAUGUCAGUCCCUGGCACGAAAUCCGGCACCCACGAUUCGAUGGUGAGGAGCUAACCGGCUAUGAUCCAUGGCCCUCCGUUUAGAAUGGCAUCCCUUUCCUCUUCCGACUUGAAUCGGGAGAGUACGUGAUUUUCAGCCAAUGAGAAUGACUCCACAUCCCCCUACAACCUCUCUUUCUCCUUGAAAUCUCUCGAAAUCCAAUCGAUCAGAACUCCCCGACUCCUGACUAGCACUGAUACAUUCUUCCACUUCCCCCGCACCUCCUCUAUCUCAUCCUUUGGAAAUUCCAAGACUUUUGAGAAAUAGUGCUAAAGUUGCUCCACUUCCGCCACUGUGAUCUUGUUCAAGGUCCACACCGCCUGCCUCAGUGGGCCCUGGGCAACCUUCGCCCAUGAGUGCCCCCCUCCCCGACGACCCCCGAUGCCUUGUUCUCCUCAGUGUCGGGCCCUCUCUGACUACCGUCCAUCGCCAACCAAACAAGAUCCACCAUCCGUUCGAUGAAAAGCCAUAAAGAGAUCACG
rnacentral:lncRNA from 1 species